rnacentral:lncRNA from 14 species
GAAUGUUUAAUUGUGACCAAAAUAAUGCAUUUAUAUCCUUAAAGGAGCAGGGGAAGGCUUUGCUGGAAUUCUGCUGCAUAGAAAAUUCAUAUAGCAACUGACAGAACUGUGACGUGAGGGAGCCAAAUGCAACCUCAGAUUCUGACCUCAAGCAAUACUUGGCCAAUGAAUGGCUCGCACAGGAAUGCAUGGAACAUGAUGACCAGCAUCUUGAAAACAACAAAUGGCACCAGAUCUGCAGCCAGGCAAAUGGGCUCCUGCAUUUUGGUUCUAUGCAGGAACAAGUUUAGAGAAUAAAGUCACUUGAAAAUCAUCUGCUGUCCGGAAUCAGUUGAGGAGACAUCUUUGGUGAUCCAAUAAAACAGUAUGUACAUCUAAGCGACUGUCUUCU